GACGAACGCUGGCGGCGUGCCUAACACAUGCAAGUCGAGCGAGGAAGAGGAGAUAGCUUGCUAACUCCUGUUUCUAGCGGCGGACGGGUGAGUAACGCGUGAGCAACCUGCCUUUAUCAGGGGGAUAACGCAUCGAAAGAUGUGCUAAUACCGCGUAAGACCACAGCCUCACAUGGGGCAGGGGUCAAAGGAGGAAUCCGGAUAAAGAUGGGCUCGCGUCCGAUUAGCUAGUUGGUGAGAUAACAGCCCACCAAGGCGACGAUCGGUAGCCGACCUGAGAGGGUGAUCGGCCACAUUGGAACUGAGAGACGGUCCAGACUCCUACGGGAGGCAGCAGUGGGGAAUAUUGGGCAAUGGGCGAAAGCCUGACCCAGCAACGCCGCGUGAGGGAAGAAGGGUUUCGGCUCGUAAACCUCUGUCCUAUGGGACGAAGGAAGUGACGGUACCAUAGGAGGAAGCCCCGGCU
rnacentral:rRNA from 1 species